GGGAAUGUGGCUUAGUGGUAGAGUGCUUGCCUAACAUGCAUGAAGCCCUGGGUUCAAAAUCUCAGUACCA
rnacentral:tRNA from 1 species